ACAAUCCUUUGUCCCUCUGUCCUUGCUGUGAUGUAAGAAUCCACGUGAAACCACGUUUCUUUCCCAUUUUGAUCUUCAAAGCACGCGGAUCAGUUGACUGGAGAGUAAGAAUGUUUUUUGAUCAAGCGAAAGUACGAACACAUCUUGUGUUAGAUAACGGUUGAUUAUUCCAAUUCUCUUGCAAUCUGCAAUUGAAUAGUUUUAAUCAAAUGGGAAUUGAGGAAAAUUUGAGGCUUACAAGAGAUUUCAUACUUCUUGUGAUUCCAUCAAUACUUUUGGAAUUCCAAUGUCUUAAGGAAGAAAAGACUAAGGAAUCUGAUUGAAAAUAGAU